UAUUUCAAUGCAUCUACGCAAGCAACGUUUUCCACGUUUCCCUAAACUGGUUUAUCUGCCAAGCCUUUUCAAUAACGGAAGGCACCACACAGACACCACUCUAUCUAUGUAUUUAAUGAUUCGGUUUCAUGAAUUUUAUUUAAAUCGACGAUUACAAUUCCAGCUGGACUCAAUUUUGUAACGUCAUUAGCCACGCCCAACUCGCCCAACGCCCAACUUGAUUGAAAUGAAAACCCCCGGAAGUCAGGUGCCAGCGAUUUAAUGGCCAACCGUGGGACCUACUGUAAGAAAUAGUUCGAGAUUAAUCAUGAACAGGAUGGACCGCAUUACAGCCUUACAAUUUUGAGCCAGCUAGGCGUCCAAAUGACCGGCAACGCACCAAGAGGAGGGUAAUUAACGGAGGAGAAGUUGUGGGGAGUUGGACAGAUGUCCUGCACCUGGUCGUACUCGCUGAGGGAGGCCAGGAAGAUGAGGGACAUGACGUUCUCAAAGCAGUGGAUCCACUUGCGUCUCUCAGACUUCUGGCCCCCGACGUCCACUAUCCUGCUCAGCGAAAACAAGGCGACUAAAAACACAGCGCCCUCUGGUGGCCGCUGCUAAUAAAUCCCAUUCAAAAACGCAUAGGACAUGAUUACUAAGAACGUUCGCAAGUGCAAAACAUUUUAGCGCGGGCAAAACUGAUUGGCGCAAAAUAAAGACCAUGACCAGUCAUUGUUAUUGGUUUUGCGUGUGCUGAAAGGUUUUGCACAUGCUAAAGGUCUUAAUAAAUCAACGCAUGCAUCUCA